UUUGCUUCUCAGCCUUUUGGCUAAGAUCAAGUGUAGUAUAAAUCACAGUUAACGUUUUCUGAAUCCAGACACACGCAAGUGAAUAGUUAGCUGAAAAUGGGAAAAGGUUCCAUUCUAUCCCAUUUUUUAACCUGCCUCAACCAUUCAUUUGUUAUUACACUCUUCAGAUUUAAUGCAUCCUUU